rnacentral:misc_RNA from 1 species
AAGUCGUAACAAGGUUUCCGUAGGUGAACCUGCGGAAGGAUCAUUAACAAUGAUAUACCCAUGUAUGUGAACGAAACGGUUAGAACUGGUGGCAUUUCCCAGUGGGUGGCCACCAGAGUUGUUUUGCAUGUUUACUCUAUUGACUGACAUAACGAAGCCUAAUGAGAAUACAACUUUAAGCAAUGGAUCUCUAGGCUCUC